UAGUCCACACCGUAAACGAUGAAUGCCAGACGUCGGGUAGCAUGCUAUUCGGUGUCACACCUAACGGAUUAAGCAUUCCGCCUGGGGAGUACGAUCGCAAGAUUAAAACUCAAAGGAAUUGACGGGGGGCCCGCACACGCGGUGGAGCAUGUGGUUUAAUGCGAUAAUACGCGCGUAACCUUACCAGUUCUAGUAAGUCUGUCAAUCUUACGGAGACGUAAUGAACUUUGAGACUUUCAGGUGUUGCAUGGCUGUCGUCAGCUCGUGUCGUGAGAUGUACGGUUAAUUCCUGUAACUGAGCGUAACCCUUAUCUCUCUUAAGUUUUGUUAUGGAUAAAACUAAUAAACUCGAUAGAUACUGCCAACGUUAAGUGGGAGGAAGGUGGGGAUGAGGUCAAGUCUUCAUGGGCCCUUAUGAACUGGGGCUACACACGUGCUACAAUGGGGAAGGACA
rnacentral:rRNA from 1 species